GUUGAGUUGUAGCUGGCCCCCACUCCGGUGGAGGCAUGUGCACACCUUCUCUUUCAUCCAUUACAGCCCCUGUGCACUUGUGAGACAGCAAAGGAGGAAAUUAUUAUUGAUCCCUUGCUGUGACUACUUAAUUCACACACACUCUAUUUAAUUUAAACUGAAUGUAAUUGAUGUAACGCAUCUAAUACUAAGUUUCAACAACGGAUCUCUUGGCUCUCGCAUCGAUGAAGAACGCAGCGAAAUGCGAUAACGUAAUGUGAAUUGCAGAAUUCAGUGAAUCAUCGAAUCUUUGAACGCACCUUGCGCUCCUUGGUAUUCCUUGGAGCAUGCCUGUUUGAGUAUCAUGAAAUCUUCAAAGUAAACCUUUUGUUAAUUCAAUUGGUCUCUUUACUUUGGUCUUGGAGGGUCUAUUGCAGCUUCACACCUGCUCCUCUUUGUGCAUUAGCUGGAUCUCAGUGUUAUGCUUGGUUCCACUCGGCGUGAUAAGUUAUCUAUCGCUGAGGACACCCGUAAAAAAGGUGGCCAAGGUAAAUGCAGAUGAACCGCUUCUAAUAGUCCAUUGACUUGGACAAUAUUAUUUUAUGAUCUGAUCUCAAAUCAGGUAGGACUACCCGCUGAACUUAAGCAUAUCAAAGCUGAACUUAAGCAUAUCAAAAAGGGGGGAGAGAGAAAAUGUUUUUUUGGGGGUCUAAACCGGAGGGAAGUUUGAGUUUAAACCGGCCCCCACUCCGGUGGAGGC
rnacentral:rRNA from 1 species